rnacentral:rRNA from 1 species
CAGCGCCACGAGUGGCAAUCGUUUAUUUGGCCUAAAGCGUCCGUAGCCGGUUUGGCAAAUCUUCUGUGAAAUCGAACAGCUCAACUGUUCGGCGUGCAGGAGACACUACCAAACUUGGAACCGGGAGGGGUACAGAGUAUUCUGGGGGGAGCGGUAAAAUGCUAUAAUCCCCGGAGGACUACCUAUGGCGAAGGCACUGUACCAGAACGGAUUCGACGGUGAGGGACGAAAGCCAGGGGAGCGAUCCGGAUUAGAUACCCGAGUAGUCC